rnacentral:rRNA from 1 species
UACGUAGGUGGCAAGCGUUGUCCGGAUUUACUGGGCGUAAAGAGCGCGCAGGCGGUCGUUCAAGUCGCGUGUGAAAGCCCCCGGCUCAACUGGGGAGGGUCACGCGAUACUGAUCGACUCGAAGGCAGGAGAGGGAAGUGGAAUUCCCGGUGUAGUGGUGAAAUGCGUAGAUAUCGGGAGGAACACCAGUGGCGUAGGCGACUUCCUGGCCUGUUCUUGACGCUGAGGCGCGAAAGCUAGGGGAGCAAACGGG